rnacentral:rRNA from 1 species
UGGCUCACCAAGGCGACGAUGCGUAGCCGACCUGAGAGGGUGAACGGCCACACUGGGACUGAGACACGGCCCAGACUCCUACGGGAGGCAGCAGUAGGGAAUCUUCCGCAAUGGGCGAAAGCCUGACGGAGCAACGCCGCGUGAGUGAUGAAGGUUUUCGGAUCGUAAAGCUCUGUUGCCAGGGAAGAACGUUCUCUAGAGUAACUGCUAGAGAAGUGACGGUACCUGAGAAGAAAGCCCGGCUAACUACGUGCCAGCAGCCGCGGUAAUUCGUAGGGGGCAAGCGUUGUCCGGAAUUAUUGGGCGUAAAGCGCGCGCAGGCGGCUGUUUAAGUCUGGUGUUUAAACCAUGGGCUCAACCUGUGGUCGCACUGGAAACUGGGCAGCUUGAGUGCAGAAGAGGAAAGUGGAAUUCCACGUGUAGCGGUGAAAUGCGUAGAGAUGUGGAGGAACACCAGUGGCGAAUGCGACUUUCUGGGCUGUAACUGACGCUGAGGCGCGAAAGCGUGGGGGAGCAAACAGGAUUAGAUACCUGGUAGUCCACGCCGUACACGAUGAGUGCUAGUGUAAGGGGUUCGAUACCUGUGCCGAAGUAACACAGUAAGCACUCCGCCUGGGGAGUACG